CUCCCAUGGGCUCUCAGAAGUCGGGAAAAAGCUGAACGAUGUAAUUCCAUCCCCAGGCUGAAACACAUUAGCGCGUUUGGCAAGUGCUCUAUCAGAGGGCCAUUAGACUGAGGCUCGUGCAUGAGGGGAUAGCAUGCUUUUACUUUCACUCUCUUCGUAAUAAAAAACGAUUUCCCGGUCGGAAUAUUAUCGCUUUUUUACGAGAAAAAUGGCAUAAAAAUUGAUUUUAAACAGCGGUUGACAUGCUUCGAAGUACGGUAAUGGAAUAUUUAGACAUUUUUUGUCACGAAAUGCGCCAUGCUCGUCACCCUUAUUUACGCUUUCGGAUAGUGUCUUGAACGCACGAACAAAACGCCGCUAUUUGGAUAUAACAAUGGAUUAUUUGGGACCAAACCAACAUUUGUUAUUGAAGUAGAAGUCCUGGGAGUGCAUUCUGACGAAGAACAGCAAAGGCUUCCACGUCUUCUCCCUGGACCUCCUCAAUGUCUACCUCUUGAACAUCAGACUCUGAGGCCUCAUCUUCACGGUCACUUUCCAACCUUGUUGAGGAUGGCUCGUUGUCAAGCUCAAAAAGCCUAAAAUUUGCCAGGAUGGCCACCAAUUUUUCAACCCUUGUAUUGGUCAGCCUGUUGCGUGCUUUGGUGUGUGCUCCCAAACAAGGACCAGUUGCGCUCUGAGGCGGCUGAUGUUGGUGGGAUUUGAAGGAUGAUGGAGGCAACAGGGGAAAGAGCGUCAGAUCCACAAAGUCCCUUUUACCAGGUGGCUGAUGAGAUAUGUUGGCAAGACUGCCAUAUUGCAUCUCCAUCCCAAAGCCCUUGCUUGGAAGUGUACUUUGCCAGACUGCCAAUAACCUUGUCCUCAUCCAGGCCAAGGUGGCGAGACACGGUAGUGAUGACAACAUAAGCCUUGUUAAUCUCUGCUCCAGACAGGAUGCUCUUGCCAGCAUACUUGGGGUCCAACAUGUACACUGCGGCGUGUAUGGGCUUCAGGCAGAAGUCUUCAUGCUUUUUUAUGUAUUUCAGAACUGCAGUUUCCUUUGCUUGGAGCAACAGGGAAGUGGGCAGGGCAGUAUGGACUUCUCUUACAUCUGCAAGCAGAGUCUGAACAUCAGACAGGAUGGCAUUGUCUCCCGCAAUCCGUGCAAUGGCUACUCUAUAGGUUUCAGGAGUUUCAGGCUGCCCCAAAAUACAUCAUCCAGGAGGAUCCUCUUGAUGGGGCUGUCCAUAUAGGCAGACUGUGAUAUGGCCAUUUCUUGGAGACUCCUUCCCCUUCAGGAGACUGUCAAACA
rnacentral:lncRNA from 1 species